CCAUAUCAAAAGGAAACACUGGUUCUUGUAUGACCACUGAAGUUAAGCAACCGCGAGAUUUGUCAGCACUUAGAUGGGUAACCACUUGGGAAUACCAGGUGCUGUAA